UGAGGGUAUGAAAACAUAUUUUCAUAAGCAUGAAGAGUUUAAGAAAGCAGCACAUUUUUGGAUUAAAAACUAGAUGUGCAGGUUUCCACAGUGAUCUAUAACAGUGGCCUCAAACAUAAAUGACCCGUGGACCCCCACAGAACCUCAAUUUUUCCCUUCCCACAGAAGGCACUUGAACAAUUGUUUAAAAAAGAGGAAUAUUUGCAGACAAAGCAUGUUUUUGCCUGAUUUUUUUUUUCCAGAAAAGCACAAAAUUUGCAUUGUUGUGAGCCUCUCAAUCUGAUGACUGACCACAUAUAUUUUGUACAUU